UACGGGGGGAGCAAGCGUUGUUCGGAUUUACUGGGCGUAAAGGGCGCGUAGGCGGCCACCGCAAGUCGACUGUGAAAUCUCCGGGCUUAACCCGGAACGGUCAGCCGAUACUGCGGGGCUAGAGUGCAGAAGGGGCAACUGGAAUUCUCGGUGUAGCGGUGAAAUGCGUAGAUAUCGAGAGGGACACCUGCGGCGAAGGCGGGUUGCUGGGCUGACACUGACGCUGAGGCGCGAAAGCUAGGGGAGCGAACGGG
rnacentral:rRNA from 1 species